UUUUAGUUUGUUUAUGUGAAAGAAACGGUUUUGAUUUAUGUAUUGUUGCUUAAUUAGUCUGGUUCAAAUUCACUGUGUGUUUACUACACCAUAUAGUUUGUGUUGAAAAAAAAAAUACAUUUUACACGCGAAAAGGUGAUUUUUCAAUGCAAGGUUUUAUAAGCCCAAAUUUGCCGUGGGCAGGGGUGGCGUGAUAUUGGAUAGGGGAACUUGCUUAAGUUUCUGCUCCCUUUUUUCCUCUUUUCUUGGGGCAAAGAAAGUCUCAAAGUUGGCGGAGUAAGUCAGAAUAUAUCUGUAAUUUUCACAAUUUUCAGUUGGACACGCCAAACAAAUAGAAUCUGAUAAAACGAAGCAGCCUUAGUCAUCAACAAGCUAUCGGCACCUGGUAUAUGUCUUAGGUGGAAAUACUCCAUCAUGAAAGCUUGAAAAACCAGCUGGAAUUCAGCUUUUGCUGAAGUCUGAAAAAAAUCUUUAGAGAACUUACUGAAUAUAUUCUUCUACAAUUAUCCCUUGGUUCAUUGAUAACAGCUUGAAGGAGUUGAGACCGCAAUGUGGAAGUUGGAAAAAUUUCUAGUAGAAGACCAAAACAAUAAUCUGGUUUAAAUAUUUAAGCUUGUCUAGUUCAGUCUUGGCGACUAUUUGAUUUUAACCUCUUCUCAGGUCUUCAUAGUGCCUAAGUUAAGGAUUCUUGUGCAUAGUGGUUGCAAGCUGCAACUCAGUGUCUUAUGUACGACGUUAGCUUUGAUAUUGAGCUAUUUUUCUGUAAGAUUAUGAGCUUUAAUCAAGUAGGGACCAUGUCGAGCUCUAGUUUGAGCUAGAAAAGAAUGUUUCUGAAGCCUUUGAAGUGGGCAAAGAGAGCUAUUUUUCUUCUUUUGUAUGGUUAUACAAGUAGUUGAUUAUAGAAAUAGUAGCAGUCCUCUUCAAAUUAUUCAAAUGGUGUUACAAAAUUCAAAAUCUUUGACUCCCUGGGUAGAUAACCAGACUGCUUUCAAUGGAGGGAUAUAAGGCAAAAAUACAUUCUACUCGCGAAAAGGUGAUUUUUCUAUUUGCAAUGCAGUUCCAGCAACUUGUUUAAGGUUUUAUCUGCUCAAAUUUGCUGUGGGUGGUGAGCUUUUUCUGUAAGAUUAUAGGCUUACAUAGCAUUUUCCUAGGGGAGCAUUGUUAAGAUUGAGUCUUUACCGAUUGUACUUUGUAAAUGAAGUAAUGAAAAGGUUUUCCUGUUCCAUUUUAGCUGCUUUAGUUUGCGGUGAUGUUUGGUAUUCUAGCAAGGCUUUUAUUUUUCCUUUAUUUUGGUGUAUUGGGUGUGGUAGUCAAGCUGUGACAGGAGAUCUUGUGGUUGCUGUACUGUCACCUUCUUAUUUGUCUUUUUCUGGAGAUAGAUAAAUAGUGUUGUGUCAAAUGGUUUGUAAUUUUCAGUUAGUAGCUCAGUUUUUGACAAUAAAAAAGUGUUCUUUCAUAUUUUUUAAAUUUUAUCAAGUAAGAUAAGUUUUAUUAAUAACUAGUACCAAGGAGGUACUGCAAUAGUUACAAAAGGAUGAUGAGAGUUACAAACUUACAAUUGCUACAUCAAUUUCCAAUACAUUCCGGAAAAUAAAAAAGAUUAACCAAAUCCUAUAUAGCAUUGUGCUUGCAGCAAAAGUAUACAUUCUGUAUACAUCUAUUCUUCACAAGAGAAAUGUGCUGUUUGCAUCCUUUGAAGCAUCUUUUAUUUCUUCUCGACCAUAGAAUUCAAAUGAUGCUCAAAGGAAGAGUUGCCCAUAUGUGUUUUCUUCUCUUUCCAACUUCCUGACCUUGCCAGCUAAGCAUUAAACUCUUCACCAUUUGUGGCAUUACCCACUGAAGACCAAAAAUAUUCAAAAAGAGAACCCAUAUCAGCCAGGUAUUGUAAGUUUGUAAUAAUGCAAAAGAAGAUGAUUGCAAGAUUCCUGUGAUCUUUCACAAAAGAGGCACCUGCUACAUAAUGUAUUCCCCUUCUCUGCAAUGCAUCUUGUAUAAGGCAAGCAUUAUGGACCUAUGUUAUUCGGACUCUUCAAAAAUGUCGACGGGUACGUGUCGGAUCCUCCAAAAGUAGUGCAUUUUUGGAGGAUCCGACACGGGUGGGGCAGCCAUUUUGGAGAGUCCCAGCAACCCAAGCAUGCAGCUUUAGGAGGAGCUCUCGACCUCCAAAGCAGGUUCAAGUCCAUUCAGCUUCCCACUUCCCUGAACUUUUCAGUAAUAUAGAAUAACAACUUUUCAUUGAGAAUGUACCAUCUUGCUAUCAACCCAGGCCUGUGAGUCGAUUUUGCUAUCAUAUAGAAUUACUGGUUCCAAAAUAUGUAACAGUUGACAAAAAAUUCUCCAACUUCCAAUAAUUUAUGGUGUUUUUUUUUUCUUUUUUUUUUUUAAAAGAAAGUAACAGUUGUAUGUAUUUGACUAAAUCAGUACAUAGGUUGUACUGAAAACCAUAUUUACAUCAUAGCAAAAAUCAGGAAACUAGUCCAUAAAGUGAAAUUCUAACAAGAACCUAGGAUUUCUGUUAUGGACUUAGUAUCCUCUAGGUAGAUCGGCUUGCACCAAAAACAAAAAAGCUUAAUGCAAUUCAGUUUGAUCUUCUGUACUUCACUGCUGAUGUGUUUCCAGAUUUUCAUUUUAUUAGGCACCAUCAUAAAAUCCGGACACCACUUAUUGUCUUUCCCAUACUUUAUACUCCCUCCGUUCCAAUUAAUGUGAACCUAUUUCCUUUUUAAUCCGUUCCAAAAAGAAUGACCACUUUCCAUAUUUGGAAACAAUUUACCUUUAUGCAAUGAUUUAUAGCCACACAAAAUAUAUGUGCCUCAUUUUACACCACAAGUUCAAAAGUCUCUCUCUUUUUCUUAAACUCCGUGCCCAAUCAAAUAGGUUCACACAAAUUGAAGCGAAGGGAGUAUUGAUAACAUCCUUCCAAAAACAACAUUCACGUUUGUACUUUGUAGUAACAUUUUGCCAAAAGACUGAAUGUGGUGUUGUUUUGACUAGGAACUGAGAUGACUAUUUCUUUCUUGCUAAUCCCUUCACUCUUAGUGCACUGUGUUUUCACCUCUUUUCUGCAUUAUGUUUGGUUGAAUUUUGGAUUUUGGCAUUUUGCCUUAAAUAGUAGGUUUUUGGCCUCAUAGGCAAUGGACUAUAACAUUUGAAGAGCAGACUGAUCUUUUUGUGUGCUAAGAUUGCAGAGAGACUACUUUUAAGAAAUAUUUGUGGUUGUCAUUAGUCUUGGAUUUCGUAUCUUCCCCUUUCCUGUGCCUUUUCUCUGCUUCAAUUCAAAUUAGUGAUGCUACUUGCCGUUGGCAGUUGCAUGUCUUUCCUGUUGAGUGUAUUUGCAAAACUCAUCAGUUUCAUGCUUUGAGUUUUAGAGUGGCUUCUGAAAACAUCUGACAUGUUAAAAUAAUCUUCUUGUUUCCUAUUUCACUAGAUUAAAUAUGUUAAUCAGCUCAUCUCAA